rnacentral:tRNA from 1 species
GGAAAUGUGCCCGAAACUUAAAGGAUAACUUUGAUAGAGUUAAUGAUAGGGAUUAAAGCCCCCUCAUUUCCU